CCUACGGGUGGCAGCAGUGAGGAAUAUUGGUCAAUGGGCGUAAGCCUGAACCAGCCAAGUCGCGUGAGGGAUGAAGGUUCUAUGGAUCGUAAACCUCUUUUAUAAGGGCAUAAAGUGUGGGACGUGUCCUAUUUUGUAUGUACCUUAUGAAUAAGGAUCGGCUAACUCCGUGCCAGCAGCCGCGGUAAUACGGAGGAUCCGAGCGUUAUCCGGAUUUAUUGGGUUUAAAGGGUGCGUAGGCGGCCUUUUAAGUCAGCGGUGAAAGUCUGUGGCUCAACCAUAGAAUUGCCGUUGAAACUGGGGGGCUUGAGUAUGUUUGAGGCAGGCGGAAGGCGGGGUGUAGCGGUGAAAUGCUUAGAUAGCACGCAGAACCCCGAUUGUGAAGGCAGCCUGCCAAGCCAUGACUGACGCUGAUGCACGAAAGCGUGGGGAUCAAACAGGAUUAGAUACCCCAGUAGUC
rnacentral:rRNA from 1 species